rnacentral:rRNA from 1 species
UGGGGAAUCUUCCGCAAUGGACGAAAGUCUGACGGAGCAACGCCGCGUGAGUGAUGAAGGCCUUCGGGUUGUAAAGCUCUGUCUUUUGGGACGAUAAUGACGGUACCAAAGGAGGAAGCCACGGCUAACUACGUGCCAGCAGCCGCGGUAAUACGUAGGUGGCAAGCGUUGUCCGGAUUUACUGGGCGUAAAGGAUGCGUAGGCGGAUUUUUAAGUGAGAUGUGAAAACCCUAAGCUUAACUUGGGGACUGCAUUUCAUACUGGAAAUCUAGAGUGCGGGAGAGGAGAAUGGAAUUCCUAGUGUAGCGGUGAAAUGCGUAGAGAUUAGGAAGAACACCAGUGGCGAAGGCGAUUCUCUGGACCGUAACUGACGCUGAGGCAUGAAAGCGUGGGUAGCAAACAGGAUUAGAUACCCUGGUAGUCCACGCCGUAAACGAUGAGUACUAGGUGUAGGAGGUAUCGACCCCUUCUGUGCCGCAGUUAACACAAUAAGUACUCCGCCUGGGAAGUACGAUCGCAAGAUUAAAACUUAAAGGAAUUGACGGGGUCAUAAGCUGUUUUCCU